rnacentral:lncRNA from 1 species
GCAAGCGAAAGUGACCUAAGAUGAUGUGGAAGUUCUUAAGAAACGCCUGGACCUGGAAAGCCUAGUCCCUUUUCCUGUGUUUCUCUAGGAAGAAAGAUGCUGCAGUAGGCUUUGUGUGAACAGCGGAUCUUGCAAAUGUCUUUGGCAGUUUUGCGACUCUCUGUCUGUAAGAUCCCGGCCACGGUUAACACACUGAGGAACCAAACGCCGCUCAGCAUCUUUAGGCACCUUCGGUGUCAACUCAGAUGUGCCACUAGCUUCUGGAUCUUCCUGUGUCCAUCUGCAAAAGGCAGCUCCUUGGACCCAAGAGUCUUCCAUUGUGGAAUCAAUUCGCAAGGGGGCCACCUACUCUCAGAUUAUGCCCAGCACUGCCUGGGACUGGAUGGCUAAAUUUAAUUCAGAAGUCUUUGCCGGGAAGUCCAAUUAUGGCCAUAGACCAAACCAAGUUAUUGAAUUUAUUGUUAACAGUAAUGAACCUGGUAUUUUGAGCUCCAUCUGUCUGAUACUUGCAUUUACUUCUUAAUUAGUUAUGAAACCACAGUGUGUUGAAAAGCGUUAACAUGAUCACCACCAAUUGCCCACCAGUAGGCA